GUGGGGAAUAUUGGACAAUGGGGGGAACCCUGAUCCAGCCAUGCCGCGUGUGUGAAGAAGGCCUUUUGGUUGUAAAGCACUUUAAGUGGGGAGGAGGCUUACCUGGUUAAUACCUAGGAUAAGUGGACGUUACCCACAGAAUAAGCACCGGCUAACUCUGUGCCAGCAGCCGCGGUAAUACAGAGGGUGCGAGCGUUAAUCGGAUUUACUGGGCGUAAAGCGCGCGUAGGUGGCUAAUUAAGUCAAAUGUGAAAUCCCCGAGCUUAACUUGGGAAUUGCAUUCGAUACUGGUUAGCUAGAGUAUGGGAGAGGAUGGUAGAAUUCCAGGUGUAGCGGUGAAAUGCGUAGAGAUCUGGAGGAAUACCGAUGGCGAAGGCAGCCAUCUGGCCUAAUACUGACACUGAGGUGCGAAAGCAUGGGGAGCAAACAGGAUUAGAAACCCCGGUAGUCC
rnacentral:rRNA from 1 species